AAACAACUUUCUCUUGGGUUGUGCUUGCACCCGGCCUCACUGGACGCAUUCUUGGUGUUUUGAUUGAGUCUACGAGAGCAAGAGGUGUCCGUGGGUGGAGCCCUUUCUUCACACCGUCAAAGUGGCGAUGCUCCGUGAAGCGGGAUAAAAGGCAUAAGGACCAGGAUAGGUGGACCCUGUUUACUCCAUAAAACAAGCAAA